UUUUAGAAGUGUUAAUUUUCU
rnacentral:piRNA from 1 species